GGCUAUUGCUAUCAGGGUUUGACUAAGCCAUGCGAGUCGAGAGGUGAAAGACCUCGGCAUACUGCUCAGUAACACGUGGAUAAUCUGCCCUCAGAAGAAGAAUAAUCCCGGGAAACUGGGGCUAAUGCUUCAUAGGAGACGGGUGCUGGAAUGCUCUGUCUCUGAAAGGUCCGCCGUCUGAGGAUGAGUCUGCGUCCGAUUAGGUUGUUGUUGGGGUAACGGCCCACCAAGCCUUUGAUCGGUACGGGUUGUGGGAGCAAGAGCCCGGAGAUGGAUUCUGAGACAUGAAUCCAGGCCCUACGGGGCGCAGCAGGCGCGAAAACUUUACAAUGCGAGCAAUCGUGAUAAGGAAACCCUGAGUGCCUGUCAACGCAGGCUGUUCUGGUGUCUAACACACACCAGGAGAAAGGGCGGGGCAAGACCGGUGCCAGCCGCCGCGGUAAUACCGGCUGCUCGAGUGAUAGCCACUUUUACUGGGCUUAAAGCGUUCGUAGCUUGGUCGUUAAGUCUCUGGGGAAAUCUUUUGGCUCAACCAAAAGGCGUCUCAGGGAAACUGGCGACCUAGGAACCGGGAGAGGUAAGACGUACUUCGGGGGUAGGAGUGAAAUCUUGUAAUCCCCGAGGGACGACCGAUGGCGAAGGCAUCUUACCAGAACGGCUUCGACAGUGAGGGACGAAAGCUGGGGGAGCAAACCGGAUUAGAUACCCGGGUAGUCCCAGCCGUAAACGAUGUGCGUUAGGUGUGUCAGCGACCACGAGUCGCUGAGGUGCCGAAGGGAAACCGUGAAACGCACCGCCUGGGAAGUACGGUCGCAAGGCUGAAACUUAAAGGAAUUGGCGGGGGAGCACCACAACGGGUGGAGCCUGCGGUUU
rnacentral:rRNA from 1 species